UGUUGAAACCCCAGUUCCCAUAUGGUCACCUAAGUUAAGCAAGUUGAGCCUGUUCAGCACCUAGUGGGUGACCACUUGGGAAUAGCAGGUGCUGUAAG